rnacentral:precursor_RNA from 12 species
UUCUCCAGGAACUCUUUGCAGCCCGGGAGCCGGAGCGGAGAAAGCAAACAGUGGGGGCUCCAAGCACUGUCUGCUUUAUCCGCUCCUGCUCCUGGGGCUGACCUAGCAAACGCCAGCG